AAUUUUAUAAAUUUAUUAUUAUUAUUAUUAUUAUUAUUAUUAUAUAGAAUUAGGCUACUAUACUAUCUAUAGUACCGGAGCUCCGGUACUAUAGUCUUGUUUUCGAUCUUAGGUUGUUCAAAUUAACGAUCCACACCGUUAAAUAUGAUCUAAGGUAUAUGAUGUUUUUAGGAAUAAAAUUUUAGUUUUUUUCAACAUUGUUUACUUAGUAAAUAAAUUAUGUAAAAAUGGACGGUGAAAAUUGAAUAUUCUUUAAAAUUUGAGGCAUAGGACUUUUAAAUUUAAGAUCAAGAAUGUUAACCUUAAUCUAAAUAGUUUAAAAUAUUUUCUAUCAAAAUUUGAAGAAAUUUAGAUUCUUCUACACCGUUAAACUCCAAACUAGCCAUUGAAAAUUAACAAUUUUGAAAUUGUUUGAUCAUAAAGUAAACUAUAUCGAAAAAAUAUAAAAUUUUAUUUCUAAAAAUUUUAAAUACCCUAGAUCAGUUUUAAUGGUGUGAAUCGUUGAUUUGAACACCCUAAGAUCGAAAAUGAGACUAUAGUAUCGAAGCCCCGGUCUUAUAGAUAGUAUAGGAGACUAGCUCUCUCUCUCUCUCUCUCUCUCUCUCUCUAUAUAUAUAUAUAUAUGAGUCCGGCUAUGGUGCUUAUAAAAGUACUAAGCACUUGGUGCUUGUGAAUUUUUUACCGUUAGAUCUACGCCUUUAAUCAGUUUCACCCGUUAGAUUAUACUAUUCAACCAACUAACCACUUAACCCUAGGGGGCCCACAUCAUCCUAACCGCACAUUCCUUAAUCCAAGAGCCAAAAACUUACAAGCACCAAUGACUUGGUACUUUUAAAAGCAUAGGAGCUCAAUUCUAUAUAUAUAUAUAUAUAUAUAUAUUAUUUCUAGUUCUUUUAACUUGUUGUUCGUGAGCCAGCUCGUGUUCAACUUGUUGCUUGUUGAUAAGCAAAUUGAAUAUCGCUGAAUUUUUCGACUCGAUAUUUUAAUAAGUCAGCGCGUGUUCGGAUCGUUUAGGACAUAAGUUGAACACGAGUUGAAUUUUUCAACUCGAUAAUCUGACAAGCCAACUCGUGUUCGCCUCAUUUAUGAAACGAGCCGAACACAAGCCG
rnacentral:lncRNA from 1 species